GGGACCCCUGGUCGGGGGCCUGAUCAUCGGCCAUCUCAGCUGGCCGUGGAUCUUCUGGAUCAAUCUGCCCGUGGGUCUCGUCGCGGCGGGCCUG
rnacentral:tRNA from 1 species